GGCUCAGACAGCCAGGAUGUUGGCUUAGAAGCAGCCAUCAUUUAAAGAAAGCGUAAUAGCUCACUGGUCGAGUCGGCCUGCGCGGAAGAUUUAACGGGGCUAAGCUAUACACCGAAGCUGCGGCAAUAUGAACUUGUUCAUAUUGGGUAGGGGAGCGUUCUGUAAGCCGUUGAAGGUGCAUUGUAAAGUGUGCUGGAGGUAUCAGAAGUGCGAAUGCUGACAUGAGUAACGAUAAAGGGAGUGAAAAACUCCCUCGCCGGAAGAUCAAGGGUUCCUGUCCAACGUUAAUCGGGGCAGGGUAAGUCGACCCCUAAGGCGAGGCCGAAAGGCGUAGUCGAUGGGAAACGGGUUAAUAUUCCCGUACUUCUUAUAAUUGCGAUGGAGGGACGGAGAAGGCUAGGUGAGCCUGGCGACGGUUGUCCAGGUCCAAGUAUGUAGGCUGAUGGUUUAGGCAAAUCCGGACCAUCUUAAGGCUGAGAUACGAUGUCGAGCUACUACGGUAGUGAAGUCAUUGAUGCCAUGCUUCCGGGAAAAGCUUCUAAGCGUCAGAUUAUAAGAAAUCGUACCCCAAACCGACACAGGUGAUCAGGUAGAGAAUACCAAGGCGCUUGAGAGAACUCGGGUGAAGGAACUAGGCAAAAUGGUACCGUAACUUCGGGAGAAGGUACGCUC
rnacentral:rRNA from 1 species